rnacentral:rRNA from 1 species
GACGAACGCUGGCGGCGUGCUUAACACAUGCAAGUCGAACGGAAAGGCCCUGCUUUUGUGGGGUGCUCGAGUGGUGAACGGGUGAGUAACACGUGAGUAACCUGCCCUUGACUUUGGGAUAACUUCAGGAAACUGGGGCUAAUACCGGAUAGGAGCUCCUGCUGCAUGGUGGGGGUUGGAAAGUUUCGGCGGUUGGGGAUGGACUCGCGGCUUAUCAGCUUGUUGGUGGGGUAGUGGCUUACCAAGGCUUUGACGGGUAGCCGGCCUGAGAGGGUGACCGGCCAAAUUGGGACUGAGAUACGGACCAGACUGCUACGGGAGGCAGCAGUGGGGAAUAUUGCACAAUGGGCGGAAGCCUGAUGCAGCAACGCCGCGUGCGGGAUGACGGCCUUCGGGUUGUAAACCGCUUUCGCCUGUGACGAAGCGUGAGUGACGGUAAUGGGUAAAGAAGCACCGGCUAACUACGUG